AGAGUUUGAUCCUGGCUCAGGAUGAACGCUAGCUACAGGCUUAACACAUGCAAGUCGAGGGGAAACGAUAUUGGAAGCUUGCUUCCGAUAGGCGUCGACCGGCGCACGGGUGAGUAACGCGUAUCCAACCUGCCCACCACUUGGGGAUAACCUUGCGAAAGUAAGACUAAUACCCAAUGAUAUCUCUAGAAGACAUCUGAAAGAGAUUAAAGAUUUAUCGGUGAUGGAUGGGGAUGCGUCUGAUUAGCUUGUUGGCGGGGUAACGCCACAAGGCGACGAUCAGUAGGGUUCUGAGAGGAAGGUCCCCCANAUUGGAACUGAGACACGGUCCAAACUCCUACGGGAGGCA
rnacentral:rRNA from 1 species